UGUGGCUAUACCACCCUGAGUAUGUCCAAUCUUUGAUUUCAGAAGCUAAGAAGCAUUGGGCCCAGUUGGUACCUGGAUGGGAGAUUCUAGGAAAUUAUGUAUAGGUAUGC
rnacentral:rRNA from 1 species